rnacentral:rRNA from 1 species
GUGGAUUAGAUACCCUGGUAGUCCUAGCGGUAAACGAUGGGCACUAGGUGUCGGGGGUAUCGACCCCCUCGGUGCCGCAGCUAACGCAUUAAGUGCCCCGCCUGGGGAGUACGGCCGCAAGGCUGAAACUCAAAGGAAUUGACGGGGGCCCGCACAAGCAGUGGAGUAUGUGGUUUAAUUCGAUGCAACGCGAAGAACCUUACCUGGGUUUGACAUGCAUAGGAAAGCUUCAGAGAUGGAGUUCCUCCGCAAGGAGUCUAUGCACAGGUGCUGCACGGCUGUCGACAACU